AGCGAUAUUUAGCGAUGUAUUUGCAAUGAUAAAACAAAUCUGAGGUCAGGGAUGAAGUUUAGUGAUGAUUUGCGAUAUUUAGCGAUAUUUCGCGAUGUUUCGCGAUGUUUAGCGAUGUUAUUCGCGAUGUGUUUCGUGAUAUAGUGAAUUGAAGACAUUUAGAGAUGUUUUCACUAUUUCGCGAUGUUUCGCGACGUUUCGCGACAUCUAGCGAUGUUUCGCGACAUCGUCAAAAAUCAAAAAAAAAAUGUAGAAAACAAGCGAUGUUGUGAAUUAAAGAAAUUUAGAGAUGUUUCAUGAUUUCGCGAUGUUUCGCGACAUUUAGCGAUGUUUCGCGACAUCGUCGAAAACCAGAAAAAAAAAAUGCAGAAAACAAGCAAAUGGGUUUCGCCGGAUAUGGUGCGGUGGUCUCGUGGGUGGUCCGGUGGGGUUUUGUUGGGAAUGGGUUUGGAGAGUUAGAGAAAGAGAGAGAAACGAGAGAGUUAGAGGGAGAGUGGGGGUUUGAAAUGAGGAGGGUAUUGUUGGGAUUAAAGAUGUUUGGAGUGUAUUAUUUUUACAUUUUUUUAAGAAGCAUGUAAAAACAAUUUAUACUUUUUUUAAGUAUAUAAUGUCAAAUUUCCCUUAUCAAAUGCAUAUAAAUUUAUAUUUUAAAAAAAAUUAAAAAUAUAGAAAAAAAUAAAAUAUUAUAUAAAAUAAGUUUUUACAUAUUUGUGAUUAUAAUAAACUAGAUUAUAACAUUAUCAUUAUCAUUAUAAUAGAUCUUAACAACUCACAGUACUUUAAAAUUUAUAAUUUACUAAACACUCAGCUCAGCUUUUUUCUAUAGUUUUGCUACAGCUGCUUUUUCUCACAGCACAACUACAUCUGCUUUUUUUCACAGCACAGCUGUGUCAAACUGGCCCUAAGAAGGCUCAAGCUGCUAAGGCCUUUUCUAAGUCCAAGGAUAAGGCAGUCUCAGGAGCUAAGAGGACUGCUUUCACUUUUCACUCUAUUUUAAUUGGUGAUUCAAUUAGGAAUAUCCUGAAAAGAGUCGUGCUAGUUCUAAUGUUGUUGGUUCUUCAUCUACUGAUAACAACUCUUUUGUACAGGCGGGUGUGGUUGAGCAACUCUGCCCAGAAAAAUGAAUCUUUUAAGUUGGAAUGCUUGUGAGUUAGGGAGUCCCCGAGCAUUCCAUAACCUUUCCCUUGUUGUAAAUAGAAAUAAUCCGAAGUUUCUUUUUAUUAUGGAAUCUAAGCUCUUGUCUGGUAGUUGUGAUAGUCUUAGAGCUAGAUUUUCUUUUGAUCAAGGUUUUGAAGUUCAUAGGAAGGGUCUUGAGGGAGGUCUCUGACUGUUUUGGAAACAAGUGGUUAAUGUUAAUAUUUUAAAUUUAUCCUCCAAUCAUAUUGUCUGUUUUGUAACUUUCAAUGAUAAUAUUGAUGGUGAUCAUGUUUUAUGUUUUUAUGGUUCCCAUUCAAAUGACAAAGUUCAUACUUGGAAAUUAUUAGAUAGACUUUAUGAUAAGCAUCUCUUUUACCUUGGCUAAUUAUUAGUGGUUUUAAUGAUUAUCUUUCUAUUAAUGAUAGGCAUAGUAAAUUUAGUCUGCCUCUGUAAAGACUCGGUUUGACCGAGUCAAAUAUUUUAUAUAUAUAAAAUAAUAAAUAAAUAAUACAUAUGUAAAAAAAAAAAAUUAUUAUAUGUAAUAAAAAAAACUAAACCCUUCGUCCCCCUCUCUCUCUAUCUAUAUUUCUCUCUUUCUCUCUCUUUAAAAUACAAAAAUAAAACCCAUAAACCUCCAUAACCACCUCACUCUGGCGACCUAUCUCUGGCCACCGCCCGACCUCACGCGCCGGACUACUCAGACCUCCUAGUGCCGGCGACCUCACCCCCCAAGCGGCGCCGCUUCUCUCGCCGCCGUUAGCUUAGGAUCGCAAGUCAAAGUUUGGGGUUUCAAACUUUGAACGGGUUUUUCGGUCACCUCCGGCGUCCGUUUGAUGAGAGGUUUUCACCACUACACUCAGCUCGUCGAGGAGAACAACCUACACUAAAACAUUUUUCCCGGUUCACUACUUUUUCCGGUGACAUUUUUGUAGCUCCGCCCCUUUCUGGCGACUUUCCGGUGACAUCGUGCACGGAUUUGACAAACGGUUGGCAUGAGUGUGAUCUACUCGUCGAGGUGGUCGUUUUGAUAUAUACUACUCCUAUUUUCGGCGACAUUUCCGGUACACCAAUUUUUACCGCCACCGAUUGUUAAUGUGCACCGCUUAGGUGAGAGUAAUAUGUAAGUUUGGACUAAACAAUUGGAGCUCGGGACUUGAGAGCUUAAGAUCGUCUUUUGGAAAAAAGUUUAACGACUCGGGAGAGGAACUCAGUUUGAUGCUAGUGGAUGAGGAUGGUACCGUUGGGAAAGGAAUGUCGUUAUUAGUUUAGUCAUAUUUUACUCUUUCACCUUCUAAUGAGACUGAUUUUGUAUUUAAGAACCAAUGGAUGGUCUGGAUGACUUAAAUUAGCUAUGUACUAGUUAGAAA